GCUCUCUCUCUCUUUCUCUCUCUCUUCUCCUGCCUUCGCUAUUUACAUGAGAACAGUAGCCUAUAGAAAAGAAAAAAUGAGCAGAAGCACCAGAGUGUGAAGGCUAAUGUCUGCUACUCGAUAAGAUGAAGGUGCCAGAGGAGGAACUAAUGAGUAAUAUCUUGAAGCGGUUGACGGGAGAGUCAGCUCUGCCUGCUUACAGCAACGUAGAGAAGUUCAGACGAGGAAAAGACGGCUCGUACUGCGUCUCUGAGGACUUCAGUGAAACUGUGAAGAAGAGAGAACUGGUCAACGCCAAGGAGCGACUGAGAAUCAGGAACUUGAACACCAUGUUCUCCCGCUUGAAACGCAUGGUGCCACUGAUGCGACCAGACCGGAAGCCCAGUAAAGUGGACACACUCAAAGCUGCGACGGAAUACAUUCGAUUGCUCGUCGCAGUUUUGCAGGACACAGACAGUGUUGAUGGCAGUGGGACUGAUUUCCUAAAGAAUGCAAUCACUUAUGGUCAGACUGAUGGCUUUGGCAACGACCUAUGGAGGGUGGAUGAUUUGCUGAACAUGUCAGAGGAGCGCAUGGAAGAUGGAUUCACCAUGCCCCCAGAACCGGUAACAGAGGACGCAGAUAUGACCAGACUGGUGUUGCAACAUUGUGUGAUGCCUGCAUACCAGUUCAUCAUCCAAGUAGCACCUGAUCAGACUUUGAUGUAGCAGAAUGUAGCAAGUUGCAGUCUAAUUUACGAUGUCUCAACCCUAGAGCAAGAUGGCUUGGACCAAUAUUGGAAACCUGCCAGGUUGGGGGCCUGUGGAAGAAAGGAUUAUUCAAGAAGAAAAUUCAGUUUUAUUUGUCUUAUUUAAUUUAACUUUUGAAAUUUACAUGUUGUUUGAGUAAAUAUGAAUGUGUUUUUAUUUUCAUUUUACAAACCGUAUCCUUGGCAGCCCUUAAAUAAAAUGUACAACAGCUUCUAUUUUUUAAUAUUUCUGUCUGAAAGGGUUUGUUGUUGUUUUUUAAGUUGAAUAGAUGCCUUCUCAUUUCACUUCAACACUUCAUGGUACCAAGACUAUUUCUCAAUGAAUAUUGCAGCUUUCAUGAAUUGUCCUUUGAAGGAAGACAUUUGUACCGAGAGGAUAAACAUUUUUGUUACGUUUCUGGCUCUCCUAAUGUUAAUUUGUCCAUAUAAUUGAAUGCUGUGUUUGUCAAGUUGUCUCAUGUUAAAAAGCUUUAAUUUCAGGUCUACUACCAUGUACUAAUCUUAUUUCAAACUGGAAAUAUGAAAAUGCAUGAUAAAUGUUGUAAUAACCCAUCGUAACAUGGUGUUUUUAUUAAAUCCAUUAUGUCAUUUAGGACAUAUUUCCAGAUUAGAAUUAGUUGUUUUUUUUAGAAGAAGAAGUAAUAAUGAUUUUUAAUGAAAAAGAAGUAGCACACAAUACCACAGUAGAAUGCUCCAUCUCAGAUUAAAGGCCU